rnacentral:rRNA from 1 species
AUUGAACGCUGGCGGCAUGCCUUACACAUGCAAGUCGAACGGCAGCGCGGGGCAACCUGGCGGCGAGUGGCGAACGGGUGAGUAAUAUAUCGGAACAUACCCUAGAGUGGGGAUAACGUAGCGAAAGUUACGCUAAUACCGCAUACGCACUAAGGUGGAAAGUGGGGGAUUCGCAAGAACCUCAUGCUCAUGGAGUGGCCGAUAUCUGAUUAGCUAGUUGGUGAGGUAAAGGCUCACCAAGGCGACGAUCAGUAGCUGGUUUGAGAGAACGACCAGCCACACUGGAACUGAGACACGGUCCAGACUCCUGCGGGAGGCAGCAGUGGGGAAUUUUGGGACAAUGGGGGGCAACCCUGAUCCAGCAAUGCCGCGUGAGUGAAGAAGGCC